rnacentral:lncRNA from 1 species
UACCAGAUCUACCAGCACCUUGAUCUUGGACUUCCCAGCCUCCAGAACUGUGAGCUGUACAUUUCUAUUUUUUAAAAGCCAACCAGUUUAUGGUAUUUUUGUUAUAGCAGCCUGAAUGGACACAGUUAAACCUGACUCCAGAAAGUAAAGCAGGCCCCUGUGAAGGAAGGAAGAGGGAGGAAGGAGGAAGGAAGAAGGGGGAGGGAGGAAGGAAGAGGGAAGGAGGGAGAAGGGCGGUGGCCGCACACCCCCACAUCUCAUCCGCCCCUGGUGGGCAGCCUCCCCAAGGGAUUGAUUCCUUCCUCAGCAACAGUUGCUCAGAGUUGAGCACAGGAACUUGCCUUUUUCCAAGUAGCAGACACAGGCCGAGGCACAGAGUGGGGCUGAGGAAAUGUGCCGUGAAUGGAUGGUGAACAGGAAGGGACACUGAAGAAGGAGGCGGUACUGAGAGCAGCCAUCUUGGAGCUUGGAAACGGAGACGCAUGUGAAGCCGUUUGCACAGUAUUUUUCCCUUAAAAUAUGGGUGGGGAACAAGGGGCUGUCAUUUGUCUUUUUCUUUGGGAUGGUGAGCAGUGAGCAGGGCACGCCGCGAGGAGCAAACUGCAGCCCAAGCACACGCGGUCAGCACGCGGAGCACAGGUGGGGAGAAGCGGCUGACGGUGGCGUGGCCCCGCGUACCUGGGUGUGGACGCCCCGCCGCCCCGCAGGGGAAAGCUCCUGGAGUCUGGGGUCUGCUGCCCCGAGCUCUGGGUGUCCAGGACAAUCAUGCUGGCUGUUAGUGAAGAAUGGCCUGGAGCACUGGGUCUCCGCCCCAGCUGCCUGGGAGAAACUGUGUUGAAGGAGCCAUACCCCCUGGCCUCCCCUCCAGACUCCAGACAACCCCAGUCAGCUGGCUGGGAGGGAGGCAGAAGAGAAACAGGGGUGCACCUGGGGCUCCUGCAGGGGUCCAGCCAGGAGAUGGGGGCAACUUGGACAGGGACGAUCCUGGGAAGGGCAGGAGGAGGAGUGAGACCUGGCCUGCCCUCUCCCUAGAGGCUCAUCAGCUCCCUGGAGACAGACACGCCCUGGUUCCUUUCCCUAUGCCUGGAGCCUGGGUACCAGCUAUUGAAAACUGCUUUUCUCCUUGUUCAUUCAAACAUAUUCACACAUAAAGGUUGUCAUUCCUUUUUGUCACUAUUUGACAAAAAUUGGAUCAUACCGUAUACAAUUCUCUGCUAUUUGUUUUGCUCACCUAACAAUAAAUACACUGUGAAAAAUACCUUCAGAUGAGUAGAUAUCAAUCUUGUUCAUUCUUUUUUUUUUUUUUUUUUGAGACAGGGUCUCACUCCCUUGCCCAGGUUGGAGUGCAGUGGUUCAGUCACAGCUCACUGCAGCCUCGCCUCCCAGGCUCAAUCGAUCCUUUCACCUCAGCCUCUCGAGUAGAUGGAACUACAGGCAUGCACCACUGAACCUGGCGAAUUUUCAUAUUUUUUUGUAGAGAUGGGGUUUUGACAUGUUGCCUAGGCUGGUCUUAAAUUCCUAAGCUCAAGAGAUCCGCCUACU